rnacentral:tRNA from 1 species
GGAGAGAUGGAUGAGCGGUUGAAAUCAACGGUUUGCUAAACCGUCGUAGGGAUUAUAUCCUUACCGAGGGUUCGAAUCCCUCUCUCUCCG